AUACGGAGGGUGCAAGCGUUACUCGGAAUCACUGGGCGUAAAGCGCGCGCAGGCGGCCAUUUAAGUUGGAUGUGAAAGCCUACGGCUCAACCGUAGAACUGCAUCCAAAACUAUUUGGCUAGAGUGUGGGAGAGGAAGAUGGAAUUAGUUGUGUAGGGGUAAAAUCCGUAGGGAUAACUAGGAAUACCAAAAGCGAAGGCAAUCUUCUGGAACAUUACUGACGCUGAGGCGCGAAAGCGUGGGGAGCAAACAGGAUUAGAAACCCGAGUAGUCC
rnacentral:rRNA from 1 species